UACGUAGGGUGCAAGCGUUGUCCGGAAUUAUUGGGCGUAAAGAGCUCGUAGGCGGUUUGUCGCGUCUGCUGUGAAAACUCGGGGCUUAACUCCGGGCCUGCAGUGGGUACGGGCAGACUAGAGUGCGGUAGGGGAGACUGGAAUUCCUGGUGUAGCGGUGAAAUGCGCAGAUAUCAGGAGGAGCACCGGUGGCGAAGGCGGGUCUCUGGGCCGAUACUGACGCUGAGGAGCGAAAGCGUGGGGAGCAAACAGG
rnacentral:rRNA from 1 species